UUUAGGUUCUUAGUAAGACAUCCCAGGACCAUAUCUUUAAUGGAGAAUUAGCCUUCCUGUAGUCUCUGCCUGCCUCAGAACACCAAUGCUGCAAGCUGGGAACUGACAGCUGGAUCUGCAGGACACCAACUGCAUCUCUCUGCUCCUGAGACUUGGGGAGAGCCUUCAGGGCUGUGAUAAAGUAGAUGCAACUGAGGUGACCACCUGAUCUUUAAUCUUCUUGGUGAGUAAUUACCAAACUCAGAACAUCUGCACCAUGCAGGCACCAGUGGCUUUUUGCUGUAACAUCCCUUGGGAUGAGAGAUGAUGGCAUUGAGUUGGUCCAGGAAGGCUCAUAGACCUCAACAGUCUCCUUCAGCAUGACUCUGGGGUAAUGAAGAAACAGAAGUUGUGCAUCAGCAGGCUCCUGCACUGUUUGUCCCAUCUGCAAGCCCAGGCUCCUCCUGUCAUGUCUGGGAUGGCUGCAUCUGUGAAGAGUGCAUGGGACCACAAUCAGCCACGAUUCUCAUGUUGGGAUGCUCACAUUCAAGGUGAAGCUGAGGCCUGCAGGAAAUGGUAAUAAUGUGAGAUUCCAGCUGGAAGAAGCUUUCUUGCAGGUGAGUCUGGCAAGAGGCUCAGCGAGCAGCUGGAAGGAGACCAAGAGGAAAAGCAGAAGUGGGCAGGCUCCUGGAAGGCUGGGAAAGAUCCAGCAAAGGACAGAGGCAUCUGUGAGAAGAAUUUCAAUAGAAUUCCAGAGAAUUACAAUGGAAUUACACAACAGCACGGAAAAUUUAUUUCUUGUUGACAUGAAGAGUCUGUUUUUUGUUUUCCCACACUGCUGGAGGAUGGUAGCAGAAACAUUAAUGGAUGUGGAUCAGCAACAUCGCUCACAGACUGGGAGAGGAGGAAGAAUAUCCUGCCCUUUACCACUGAAGCUUAAUACCAACUUACAGACCAAUCCAUGGCACUCAUAUUCCUGUCAGCAGAUGUGGAUUUUCCAGCAGCAAAUAAGCCACUAAUGGUACAAAGUCUUUCUCAACAUGGUGUAACACUUGACCAACCCAGGCCAAAAAAUGAAGUCAACUCAUGCAUGUUACUGUAUCACAUCAGGCCAAAGAGCUUUGUCCUUCUGUCACCUAGCAAGGACUGUGUAUGGGGGACUCUUGUGUGUAUGUGUUACAAACCACUGCUGGUCACAUUAACAGAAUAAGAAACCAGAAACAUAAUGGAGGUCAAGUAUGAAGUGUUGUGAGCCUCCAAAUGUAGAGGUCAGGCAUACAAUGAAAACAACAAAACAAAAUUGUAAUGCUAGUUGCAAGCUGCGUGGAUAAUCAAUACCAGAAUGUGAUUCCUUUUAAUCAGGGGUUAUUUUAGAUGGCAUCAGAGGGGAAAAAAAAAAUUAAGUCUAAAUUUGCUAAUUGGGAAGUUGAAAUCCAUGGCUGACAGCAGGCUCCCAGGAAAGAAGUAGGUUGCAUGCAGUAAGAGUAGUGUUCAGCAACAAGGUCACAGCAGUUAGAUCACCAGUGAGAUAGAAGUCCACACUAAGGUAAUUCUUGUGAAUUCUUUUAUAUGCUCGAAGCAGAACAAGGAUAUUGAAGUGUCCUAUCUGGAGGAUUCUCUCCGUGGCACAGCACUCAUAAAUGAAAGCUCUCUGAUCUCAGCCUCUGAAUUGAACCAACAGCUAUCCUAGGCCUAGUAAGAUGGAAAGGCAGCUAUUUCCCAGAACUUGAAUGAUAUCCCCCUCAAAAAGUAUUUGAGCAACUGUUCUUUUGCAUUAAACUGUCCUCAGCUGAGGUGAGGUGGGUUAUUGUCAUAGUAGUGUGUGUGUGUGUGUGUAUUUUUUUUACCUAAGUUUUUUGAUGUCUCUGAGUUGCCUCUUGCCUCAGCACAUCCUUUGCAGCAGGCAGGGUGCUGGGUGAGCCAUUGGGCUGCAGUGUUCAGUCAUGCUGUUUUUCUCUACUCGCUGUGGAUGCUGUCAGUUGGCACGUGGAGGCUCUCUGUUGAUGAAUGAGUGCUGUGAAGCAGAUGGGAUGGAAACAGAGAUGUUAUUGACAUUCAGUCAGACCCCAGUGAGCAGCUUUUUGGCACCAAUGGGCUGAGACAUGCCCACUUUUUAAAAGCUGGUCUUUUUUCAUUGACAUGACCCCGUGUGACAGCUCCCUCUCCUGAGAUUUCUUCUGAUUUGAUUUAUGGAGUCUGAAUUUCAGCUGCAUGCUACUUGGGGCACAGACCGAUGUGAUGCUCCAUGUGAGGUGCCCAGACAAAACAACAGAUUUAAAAUGUCAUCCAGCAGCCCCAGAAAGACUUGUCAGAGCUGGAGGGGACAGAUUCAUUGCUUGCAGGCAAGGGGAAAUGAGGAAAUGCAGGAGUUGUGCUGUAGGAAAAUCUCCCCCUAAACUGCUUUCUCCCAUGUACGAUUGCCUAUGCUGAGCCUAUUCAAGGAGUCUUUGGGAAAUACCUAAGAGGAUUUUUCCUUUCAGAUUAAGUGAUUUCUGGAUGAUUUUACCCACAGCACAUCAGCAGGGGGUGAGUUUAGCUGCACUUUGCCUGCACCAGUGAAAGAGAGGCUCAUUCUUUUGAAAAUCAUCCACUAAAUUAAUGAAGACGUGAAUGUACAUUAGGCUGAACCUAUUUAGCUUAUUAAAGGCUCCUCUCUCAGAUCAUUUCCUUCUGUGUGUCUUUACAUCGCAGGCUCUUCUGUUUGUAAUUUCCAAAGUUAGGGAGGAAAAAAAAAAAGAUUGUAUUUUUUAAGAGGUUAUUCUCAGCUUUCAGCAGUCAGAAACUGUAUGUACAGUAGUCAGCCUGAAAUCCCAUAGGAAGAUGGAAGACCUCGCUGUGCUCAGUUAAUGCAGUAAUGAUGACUGUUGCUCUCUGCUCAAACAUAACUUGAGGUGAGUGCCACGAUUAACAAGGAGUAAGAACCUAAAUGAAAUGUCAAUUUCUGUUUUGUUGUGUUGAAUGAAUUACCAGGACCUUCAUGAUCUGAAACUUUGGCUAGGAUCAUUCUGCUCUCCUGGGGAAAAUAAAAUGUUUGGUCAGUG
rnacentral:lncRNA from 7 species